rnacentral:rRNA from 1 species
CCUACGGGUGGCAGCAGUGAGGAAUAUUGGUCAAUGGGCGCGAGCCUGAACCAGCCAAGUAGCGUGAAGGAUGACUGCCCUAUGGGUUGUAAACUUCUUUUAUAUGGGAAUAAAAUGUUCCACGUGUGGGAUUUUGUAUGUACCAUAUGAAUAAGGAUCGGCUCACUCCGUGCCAGCAGCCGCGGUAAUACGGAGGAUCCGAGCGUUAUCCGGAUUUAUUGGGUUUAAAGGGAGCGUAGGUGGGUUGUUAAGUCAGUUGUGAAAGUUUGCGGCUCAACCGUAAAAUUGCAGUUGAAACUGGCAGUCUUGAGUACAGUAGAGGUGGGUGGAAUUCGUGGUGUAGCGGUGAAAUGCUUAGAUAUCACGAAGAACUCCGAUUGCGAAGGCAGCUCACUGGACUGCAACUGACACUGAGGCUCGAAAGUGUGGGUAUCAAACAGGAUUAGAUACCCGGGUAGUC